rnacentral:rRNA from 1 species
UGAGGAAUUUUGCGCAAUGGGCGAAAGCCUGACGCAGCAACGCCGCGUGGGGGAUGAAGGCUCUCGGGUUGUAAACCCCUUUUCUCUGGGAAGAUCAUGACGGUACCAGAGGAAUAAGCCACGGCAAACUACGUGCCAGCAGCCGCGGUAAUACGUAGGUGGCAAGCGUUGUCCGGAUUUACUGGGCGUAAAGAGCACGUAGGCGGUUUGGUAAGUCUGUGGUGAAAUCUCCCGGCUUAACCGGGAGGGGUCUAUGGAUACUGCCAGGCUUGAGUACUGUAGAGGAAAGCGGAAUUCCCGGUGUAGUGGUGAAAUACGUAGAUAUCGGGAGGAACACCAGUGGCGAAAGCGGCUUUCUAGGCAGUAACUGACGCUGAGGUGCGAAAGCGUGGGGAGCGAACCGG